ACUCCGUCUGCCCAGUGUUCAGACUACCUGUUCAGGACUACGAGAUUGUACAGUAGUCUGCACAUUGGUUAGGCUGUGCU
rfam:Anas platyrhynchos breed Pekin duck contig92368, whole genome shotgun sequence.